GGCCUCGAAUAUGCCGAUUGGUUGAGUUCACAAUUUCAUUGGACGAAAUCCAACGGGAAUUGGAAAACGAUGACUCGCAAUGUAAAAAUAAACUUAAAAAUAUUGAGUCGGUUGUACAAGAUGGGCAUUGUCACACAAAAAAAGUAUGAGUGUCCAUUUCUUUAUGUGAUGUAAUCGUUGUUCCACAUUACCACCCCCUCCUGGACUGGGAGGAGCCGUCAUGCAGUCCUACGUCAUGGGAUUGAUUUGAAUAAUCUUCACGGUACUUUAGACAGCUAUGGAAAUGCAAACAGCAACAGGUCUGGGGAGAAAAAUGUUCCUGGGAAAGAAGUUCCUUGGACAAAUUGCUGUCUGCUGUGGUUCUGCGCAUGAUACAUUCAACGGCAACAAGAAAUCGGAUACAACCCUGUCUUACACCAGACUCCACUGGGAAACACCUUUUUGAGGCUUUGAUGGCAUGCCUUUCUACAUCUUCCAUUGAUGGAUUGAUGUCCAGGACAACUUCUACUGGUGGUGGAUUUCCAGGAUCAUCAGGGACUAACUGAGUAGUCUUUUUGCCACAGAACUGAUUGGCGAUCUUAAACACUGUGCUGAUGUCCCCUCUAGCAGCAACAGUUUCUUCUAUCCCUUCUGGCGGUUUUCUUUCUCAUCUCGUUCUUUGGCUUUGUAUGCCUUCCAUGUGAGUUUGUGGAUGUUCUUGUGUGGAAAGUCGGUGUCUCCUAUCACGCAACCAUUAUCCAAGCAAAAUUCAACAAAUCGCAGAAUCGUUCCAUGUCGGAUCUUAAAUUUAGCAAGGAAGCCUGGUGCAGUGGACUGAGUGUGUGGACUGAUGGACAGUUUUGGUUUUGGAAGACAGUGAGGUUGUCAUCUCAGGCAAAACAUAGCCAACAUAUGUUGUGAUUUUUCACCUCUUGCUGAAAGGAAGACACAUAACCAAACAUACAUUCAUCUGUUCAUUAUGAUGAAGAAGAUUAUUUGAAGAAAGUUUGUAACCGAACAGCACUGGACCCCAUUCAAAAUAGCUUAUUUUGUGUUUUGCAGAAAAAAGAAAGUCGUACAGGUUUAAUAUGACAAAG